rnacentral:rRNA from 1 species
UGCCCUAUGCUCUGGGAUAACCUCGGGAAACUGAGAAUAAUACCGGAUAGAUCACAACGCCUGGAACGGUGUGUGGUUGAAAGAUUACGGCAUAGGAUGGGUCUGCGGCGUAUCAGGUUGUAGGGGGUGUAACGGACCUCCUAGCCAUCGACGCGUACGGGUGUUGGGAGACAUAGCCCGGAGAUGGAUUCUGAGACACGAAUCCAGACCCUACGGGGUGCAGCAGGCGCGAAAACUUCACACUGCAGGAAACUGUGAUGAGGGAACUCCAAGUGCGCGCACUUAGUGUGCGCUUUUGUUGACUAUUAAUCGGUCAAUGAAUAAGGGCUGGGAAAGACCGGUGCCAGCCGCCGCGGUAAUACCGGCAGCUCAAGUGGUCGUCGCUUUUAUUGGGCCUAAAACGUCCGUAGCCUGUUUGGUAAAUCUGUGGGUAAAUCAACCAGCUUAACUGGUUGAAUUCUGCAGAGACUGCCAGACUAGGGACCGGGAGAGGUGUGGGGUACUCUAGGGGUAGGGGUAAAAUCCUGUCAUCCUUAGAGGACCACCAGUUGCGAAGGCGCCACACUGGAACGGAUUCGACGGUCAGGGACGAAGCCUAGGGGCACGAACCGGAUUAGAUACCCGGGUAGUCCUAGGUGUAAACGCUGUGAACUUGGUGUCGGGGAUCCGUC